rnacentral:snRNA from 1 species
AUAUUUGCGCUUGGGGCAAUGACGCAGUUACUGAGGUGAAACCGAGACGCGUCAAUUGCUGGUUGAAAACUAUUUCCAAAUUACAGACCGGUAAUUCAGUUACUUCUCCUUGAGA